UACGGGGGGGGCAAGCGUUGUUCGGAAUUACUGGGCGUAAAGAGCGCGCAGGCGGUCGGAUAAGUCGAAUGUGAAAGCCCCCGGCUCAACUGGGGAGGGUCACGCGAUACUGAUCGACUCGAAGGCAGGAGAGGGAAGUGGAAUUCCCGGUGUAGUGGUGAAAUGCGUAGAUAUCGGGAGGAACACCAGUGGCGAAGGCGACUUCCUGGCCUGUUCUUGACGCUGAGGCGCGAAAGCUAGGGGAGCAAACGGG
rnacentral:rRNA from 1 species